AAUCGUCCGACGUGCAUGAAACGUUGUUAACGAGGAUACGGCAAUCGGCACAGGAAUCAAGGGCAAUCGAAUUAUUUUCGCCUCCUCGAUAUUGGGUCAGCGAUCCGCUUUCUUCCCGCAGCCGAGGCCGCUUUUCCAAGAAAUCGUAACUUCCGAUAUCGAGGAUUUCGGAUCGUUGGACUUUUUUUCGAUCGAUCGUAAAAACACGAGGGCAAUGUCGACCGCGAGCUUUGGAGCCUUGUCAGCGUUGCUAGACUCUCCUUUCUUGGUGAGAAGUCUGACUCAUCCAAUACCGACGGCCGUAAACCGGCAAAUAAAAUCGCGUCGAUUAUCUUUCGAGAAACAAUGUUCCGACGGCUGAGUCUCUUCUAGGAAGGAUCGAAACACGUGCAACGCGCACCGCCAUUAAUCGAAGUUAGGGUUACCACCUGUACCUCUUAUGGAAGCGUUAAGAGGGGUUCGUGUGAGUCAGCGUUGGGCAAAUUUUAUUUUGAAUAAAGAAUUGGAAUUCCGGGCUUGUACGUAAUGUGCACGUGAAAUUUUGAUGAAAGGUACUUGCAAUUAUUCCUGAUAUCAAACUCGUUCAUUCUACAUACAGUCAUGAAACUUUGAUAUUCACUUCAAUGAAAAUAAACAGAUAUCAUACUUUAAAGAACGAAGUCUUCGCCUGCCCCUCGCGAUAGUACAUCCCUCUUUCUUGUGACCACGGUCGGUAACCCUAACCGAAGUUCGAAGUUCGUUCGUCGUCCCCGUGCUCGACGAGACGCUCGAAAUGUCGCUUAAUUUUAGAUAUCGUUGCGUCCGUGAUUCCUCGCGAAACGUCCAACUUCGUCGCCCACCGACAUUUUCUCCGAGACGAAAAAAAGAGUAACCGUGCACGCGAACGCGCCCCGGUAUUGUCGAUAUCGAUCGUCUUGCGAUUGUAGCUGGCCUGCUAACGGACCGACGGAGUCUCGAACACGCGUGAAUAUGUUUCAUCCAAUUGAUCGAUUAUGCGAUGGAAUGAAAAAGUUAACCUUCAAGACUAAUCAACCUAUCAGCUUGUCCGAAAAGUCCAUGUCGAUGUUUGAAAUUGGCACGAACUUUCUGGACAACCUAAUAAUUUCUCGUUCGACCAUGGGGUUAAUUUAACUAACAAGAAAUUCGUAUCAAGAAAUCGUCCGAUUAGUAUUUAUAAAGUCUAGAAGUGUAAGUCUAAAAAGUCGAUUAAUAGGCCAACGGUCGGUAAAGUGUCAAGUAAAUACACGAAUAUUAAUUUAUCCACCUAG